GACCACGUGGCCUAAUGGACAAAGCGUCUGACUUUCGAUCAGAAGAUGUAGGGUUCGAGUCUCUUCUUGGUUG
rnacentral:tRNA from 1 species